AUAAAUCAAACAAGGAGGCAAAGAAACUGGCAGACCAAGAUUGUUCGCCGGAGAAUUGAAAACUGGGCUUUGUAUAUUAAAAUUUGCGGCGGCGGUAGCACUACCAACCUUGUGAUUGGCAUUAACACCCACACCCGAAGAAGCUCCGCUUGUUGCUGCUGGCGGUGGCUGCGGAGUUGUAAUUGAACCAAUCUUCCCAUUCCCGUUAAAUCCAGAACCAGGAAAAGCACCCAAACUAGGUCCGGCGCUCGCAAUCAGAUUAUUGAUUGGCUCCAACCCAG
rnacentral:lncRNA from 1 species